UUUGCUACCAAAGGCUUCAAAGAGACUCAAGGAAACCUGCCGAGAUAAACAGGAGAAUGUAUGCAACCCAAAGUGCUGGAAGACCUGAGACAAAGCACCUGAGCUUAAACAAGGAGGACUUCUAAGGUGUCUGCAAGUGGCUGUGUUGCUGUUAAAUUUAAUGGGCUCCAGCUGUGCAACGGCAUUAUCACUAAGAAAGAAAAAAUCACUAGAAGGAAAAGCCAGGAAAACACGAUUAUUUUUUUAUUGCAUUCAGAGUGAGCAGUCUAAAAAUUUUAAGUGACAUAAAGAAAGCAAAGAUCCUGAAGAGGGCUCUGUCUCUGGAAGCAGUUCCAACACGGGACAGAAAGUGAAAUUUCAAAAUGGAAUUAGGCCAUUUGGCAGUGCAAGCAGAAGAGCCUUAGAGGCUGUGAGGAGGGAGAAGGAACAUUCAUCUCAACAAUCCACCUCAUGUGUCUCAACAAGAUUAGUUUUUCUGUACCUCUUUAAUUUCCACGGUGGUAAAACAUGCACAUGUUUUUCAGAAUAAAGUUCCUCUCAGUUUUGGC
ensembl:lncRNA